rnacentral:rRNA from 1 species
CAACUUUCAACAACGGAUCUCUUGGUUCUGGCAUCGAUGAAGAACGCAGCGAAAUGCGAUAAGUAGUGUGAAUUGCAGAAUUCAGUGAAUCAUCGAAUCUUUGAACGCACAUUGCGCCCCAUGGCAUUCCGUGGGGCAUGCCUGUUCGAGCGUCAUUA